UACGGAGGGCGCGAGCGUUGUUCGGAAUCACUGGGCGUAAAGCGCGUGUAGGCGGCUCGGCAAGUUGGUUGUGAAAUCCCAGGGCUCAACCCUGGAACUGCAACCAAAACUGCCGAGCUCGAAUCUCGGAGAGGGUGGCGGAAUUUCCGGUGUAGAGGUGAAAUUCGUAGAUAUCGGAAGGAACACCAGUGGCGAAGGCGGCCACCUGGACGAUGAUUGACGCUGAGACGCGAAAGCGUGGGUAGCAAACAGG
rnacentral:rRNA from 1 species